UACGGAGGGAGCUAGCGUUGUUCGGAAUUACUGGGCGUAAAGCGCGCGUAGGCGGCUUUGUAAGUUAGAGGUGAAAGCCCGGGGCUCAACCCCGGAAUUGCCUUUAAGACUGCAUCGCUUGAAUCCGGGAGAGGUGAGUGGAAUUCCGAGUGUAGAGGUGAAAUUCGUAGAUAUUCGGAAGAAACACCAGUGGCGAAGGCGGCUCACUGGACCGGCAUUGACGCUGAGGUGCGAAAGCGUGGGGAGCAAACAGG
rnacentral:rRNA from 1 species